GUAAAACUAAAGUGAAAGAAGGUCUCUGGAGCAGGGAAGUUCCCUCCCCUGGGACGUCGAAGAGUUUGACAGUUUUCACUGCCGAAGAACAUGCAAAUGAGAGAGGUGAAUCCCCAUAAAUAGGAGCUGACUGGUCCCCUGCAGGAGAACUUGAUUCAGCUGAGAGUUACUGCAUUGGGCAGAAGAUCCUUCAGCAGACAUCUCAAAGUGGAAGAUGGGCAGAACAGCCGGUGUGACCAUCCUCAUCCUCCUUCUGUGUGCUGUCACUGCACAGGGUAUCGAGCAGCAAGGAUUACAAGGACGGUGCAACCGCACUAGAACCACAUCUGCUUUUAUUCUUCGAAAGUUGAUCCGGAGCCUGAAAUAUAUUCCAGGAGGAGCUCACUGUGAGAACACAGAGAUAAUGCUUUGGACGCAAAAUGAAUUAAUUGAGUGAAGGAUUGAACUCAAUUUGACUUCUGGAUCACCUCAACUAUCACAAAUGAUGCAAAUGAACGCUUCGCUUUUUAACCUCUGAGAGCUUGUUCUACAAUUUCCUACUUUGUUUCUAAUAUUUCCACUUGUCAAAGCAUGAUGUCUACGCAAUAUGAUUUUAAUAAGUUCGCUAUUUACAUAAACUUCUUGCAAUAGCUGCAUUAUUUUCCACAGUAUAUUUUAUGUGGAUUUUAUCAAAUUGUUACCUUGUUAUUAUAUUUGCUUGCAAUUGGCAAUUAAUGCUGGCUUGUCAAUGAGAGAGAUCCCAGAAAAUUAAUAAAAAAAUAA